AAAACAAAUUGCACUAUGCCGCCUUCCAGUGACGUAUUAUUUUGAGUUGGGAAGAAGAAUCAUAGAACAGCAUGUAAAUUGUAAAUAAAAACGUAAACAAUUUCCUUAAUCCGUGAUUAAUUUAUUAGUUUAUAGUGAAAAAACCUAACUGAAAUUAAAAUAUUUUGAUUUUGUAAAAUGAAGUGUGCAGUGGCGAGUUGAAAUAACUAUUAAGCAAAUAAACCAAUAAAAAUGAACUAUUUCAGUUUUCCUUCGGAUAUACAAGUAGCCAAAAAUUUGUUAAUUUUAAUUCAUAAUCAUAAUAAUUAUAAAUUCAGAAUGUUUUCACUAUAAUUUUAUUAUAAUAAGUCAAAACUAUUAUUAAUAUAUAUAUAUUUGUGUAUAAUAUAAGAAACUACUACGGGAUACAUCGCCAUUGCAAUCAAUCACUUAAUUGGCAAUUAUGUUGCCAAUAGAUAAAAGUAUUUAUUUCAAAAUGUCCAAAACAUCUCCCCGUAACAUUAUUUUAUUUAUUUCAGUAAGAUUUUUUUCACAAUAAAAUAUGAAAUUAAGUCUAUUUCACGAAUUUAAAUAAGGGUUUAUAAUUUUAUGUACAAUUUACAUGCUGUUCUAUGCUUGUUCUUCUCAACUCAAAAGAAACACGUCACAAGAUGGUGAUUGGCGUAAUCAUCUAUUUGGUCAUUCUUGAUUAUACUCAACAAAAUCUUAAAAUCGAACGGAACUAUUAGGACAGUCAAAGUAUUUGUAUGUUGAGUUGUCAAAAUCAACCAACACGUGUAAUUACCCGGUAUAUAUUAGCAUUUAGUUUGCUUUAAUUUUUGUGGGUAUAAUAAAUAAGAACUAAAGAUGUCUCUAAUGCGUAUAAGAAAACCAAAAACCCGUAAGGGAAAGCAGAUAUUGUUGAGCCGCGAACCGCAGCUUAUAGAACCUACACGUACUAUGCUUUUCGUUGAUGGUCGCAAAUGCGGUGGAGAUAUAAAAUCUUGCAUGAAGGAUCUUCAACAGCUACGUAAGCCUCUCGUAAAAAUAUUAAAUCGUAAAAACGAUAUUACUCCAUUUGAUGAUCCAUCCUCUUUAGAAUUCUUGACAAUGAAAAACGACUGUGCACUAUUUGCAUUCGGCUCGACAUCAAAAAAGAGGCCAAAUAAUUUAAUUCUUGGGCGUAUUUUUGAAAACGAAAUAUUGGAUAUGAUUGAAUUGGGCAUAAAGCAUUACACUUCAAUGCCUGAAUAUAAAACAGAAAAAAUCGGUACAAAUGUAAAACCAUGCCUUAUUUUCAAUGGGCCACGUUGGAAUCAAACUGAAGAAUUACGUCGUCUUAGAAACUUGUUAAUAGAUACAUUCCAUAAAGAUAAAGUAGACGCUAUUCGUCUACAGGGAGUGGAACAUGCAGUCAGUUUCACAUGUACGGAAGAUUUAACCAUAUUGAUGAGAUCUUAUAAAAUAAUGUUAAAAAAAUCUGGACAAAAGACACCUCGUAUAGAACUUUUAGAAAUUGGUCCUUCCGCUGAUUUUUCAAUUCGUCGAACAAAAAUCGCUUCAGAUGAUCUUUACAAACAGGCUAGAAAACAACCAAAACAAUUGCAACCGAAAAAGAAGAAGAACGUUACAUAUGAUGAAUUGGGAAAUACGCAUGGCCGUGUCCAUUUGGGAAAACAAAAUGUAACGAAGAUACAAACGCGUCGCGUGAAGGGAUUGAAGAAAACGCCAGAGGAAAAGCGCGACAGUAGGCAGAAAAAGAAAGAAUUGAUAAAAGCAGCUGCCAAAGAACUACUGAAAAAUGCACUAUAGUAAAGAUAUAUCUGUUUAUUACAGUAGAUUUUAAUUUUAAUAAAAUAGUUUUAAAGUUGUUAUAUUAGCAAUAUUAGCUUUAUCAAUGAAUUCCACUAACGAUGUUACGUAUACGUCUACUCUUCGAUUCAUAAAGAGCUGUUUCUAAUACUUGUAUUAUAUGGACUAAACUACUCAGAUCGGUUUGCACCAAUAAGUCCUUGCGAUUUCGUCUUUCAUCCGAAUGUAUCGCCUGACCUCCACCAUCUUCGAGAAGGUCUCUGUUUUCGUUUUUUGGUUCGGUGUGUAAAUAUAACUUCAUUGUUACUCGUAUACUACUUUGCCGCAAGAGGCUUCGUGUAGCUAAACGCACCUCCAAACGCCAUUCAAUAUUAACCAAACGAUACGCUCGAAUAUUAGCAGACUUGAUUGAUCCUUCAACGAAAUGUCGUUUGCUGCUCACAAAUUGCGACAACACUUGCAUGACGUCAUUACUAUAGCCUUCCUCCUGUUGUAAACUUUGCAGGUCGAACUCACUAGUAUUCCCUUUAGUGGCAUUAAUGAGUAAGGCAAUAAGUGCCUCAACUGCAUGUUGCACCACACCUGUAUCUGUAGAAUAUUUUUCAGCAAGAUGUUGAUAACGUUGAGUAUUCGGGCCAAGAGACAAGUACUCAAAUGCUGCCUUGCAAAGCUCCACAACAUCUUCCGAACGACGAUCGCGUAAUAAUUCUAAAUGUCUCCGUUGAUCUGUUUUUAAAUUUAAUAACAUUUUAGCUCAAAAUUUUUUCAAAAAGCAGCGCAAGACUAUUGUUGCUACUAAUUUUUGUAAAUAAAUACAAUAAAACUACUAAUGACGUUUACGAGUCAUUAACAAUCCACUCAAAAUACAGCUGAUAACUGCGCCGUAUUAACUCUUGCAUAGUACCGUACGAAAAAUGCCGACCAUCUUAUCAAAGGCAAUUAAUUAAAUUAUUCUGAAUCCCAUUAUUUAUAUAAUAACAUUCAAGCCACAAAAAAACGAUUAAACUAAGUUUAAAUAAUUUCUAAUAAAUUUUCAAAUUAAAAAUGUAUUUAAAACUUGUAUGCAGAUAUGUGAACCUCCUACAUAAUUUAUUUACUCUCUUAAACGGAAAAAGGGAGCGUUUAGAAGAGUAUUAUAUGUUGUUUUUGCUUUAUUAUUAACUGACAGCUGUUCUGUUGACAAUUGAGAACAAUGUAAAUUUUCUCUAGUGGGUUGUAAAUAAAUAAGUUCUUGUUUAUUAAUCAAUAUAAUAGUGGCACAUUAGCAUAUACUCAGGUAGUGGUUCCAUAAGCAAAUUAUGGAUUUCGACAGCCCGGACGUUGAGAAAGAUUUUCCUGGUUUAUAUGCUUCUGAAGGUGGGGAGGGAAAAUCUAAAAAGAGCAAAGAAGAUAGCGAUUAUAGUGAGGGUGAACACGAUAAAGUAAGUAAAAAAGAUCUAUUAAUUGGUAGGCGAAAAGAUAAAAA